CCGGGGCGGCGGCGGCGGCGGCGGGGGCCCGGGGGCGCGUUGCCCGCCCCCCCCCGGCGGCGGAGCGCGGCGCAGCCCGGCGGCCACCUCGGGAGCGGGGGGUGGGGGGGGGGGAGGAGGGGGUAUUUUGGGGAGUUGCGGGAGGAUGGUGUCUGUGCCCUGCGGUGCUGUCAGCCGUGACGGAUCCCAGGCGCGGCCGCUACUGUACGGCAGAUUGAGUUUCUCAGCAGAAAACUCUCUCCCCUCCCUCCCCAGCGUCUUCAAAAACCUUCUCCAGAUACUGCGGGUCACUUCGGCUCAAACGGGGAGAGAAAGGGGGGCGAAAAAAAAAGAGGCUUUCCCGCUCCCCCCCUUCCCUCUGCCUUCCUCCCGCCGGAUCUCUCCGGGGUGGGGGGGCACAGUCGGGCCCUUCCCCACUCGGGGGGGGGCUGGGUCGGGCCUCCCCUCUCGCCCCCGUCCCGCUGCGAGCACGCCGCCGAGCAGGGAGCCUGGUCCAGGCCUGCAAGUGGAUCGAAGGAGCCCUGCGCCGACGGAUUUACUCUACAGCAAAACUCCCGUCCAGGAGGAUUCUGCAGCCCCAAGGGCUGCGGGGUCAGGCCCGGGAGCUGAGGAGAGGACGUGAAUAAUUUCCUUCAUAGCUGGUUCAGAAAAAGCCAGCUGCUUUCUCCAGCCGUGCCAAAACUAAGAGGAGAUGGUCUGAGGUUAAGAAACACGUGGGAUAAUUUUCAUACCAAAUGUGAAAAACGAGAAAUUGCUUUAACAUAUAGGAGCUCGCCAUAAAAAUGCGAUACGUGUUCCCUUCCAGCUUUAAAAGGAGACUUUAUAAACUCUACCGUCUUUGAUUUGUUAAGGCAACUUCAUGUUUCUUUUUUUAAUUCAUAAGUUUGUGAGAAAACAUAAUGAAACCCUUGAUGUUUUUAUGAUGUCGAUUAGCGCUUCAUUGUAUAAGUAUUUGGUUAUUGAAACAUGCACUAAAUAUUGCGCUGUAAAGUCUGUUGCGACUUAUUAAUAUGUUUUGGAAUUAAUAGAAAAAAUGACAAGAUUGCAAAAAUGGUAUUAAUUUUUAUUUCGUUUCAUUUAAUAAAAAACUCACUUGCCUGCACAGUCCUUUGCUUUAUUUUCUCACUUAUCGUGUAUAUAUUUGAAGAAAAAUGUCUGUUGCAUAUCAUCUACCUAACACUAAAAACUGAUGCUGUUAUUAAUAAGUUACUGAGAAAAAUAAACCAGUUUGCACUUUGAUUUCUAUCACUCCUGGUGAGUGAUUCUUCUGGAAUAAACAUAGCUCUAACACAUGUAAACAACACAGGAAAUUAAUAACUAAAUUCUUUGGAUUUAUUUCAGACGCCGCAUACUUUAUGUAAAUAUAUGUGGCUUUCAAUUUCAACGAUUUUCCAGUAAGUAAUAAACUUUGCUCAUUAACCUCCUCUUAAAGUAAACAUUUAUUACUUUAUAAGUGUUAUUUCAACUAAAUCAAGUGGAUGUUCUUGGUAAAUUAAUGCAACAGAUCUGUUGAACCAGAGAGGCGGGAUGGCUUCUUUGGAGUUGGGAAAGCUCGGAGUUUCUACUUAAACUUCAAGGGAAUGAGAUGCAGUACAGUAUGUUGGUUUUAAUGUGAAAAAUGUUGAUAAUAUCUCUUUUUAAAUUAAUCUACCUUUCCCUUAUAAGCUCAGUGGUAAAACACGGGAAAAAAAAUCCCAUAAAAACUUUUUAAAGUUACAUAUAUCUGCUGUGUGAACCUUGAGUUAGCAGUUUUUCACACAACUGGCUUGGCUUUUUUUCACUACCAGCCGUGAUUAGUCAAUGUUUUCCUGGAGUGAUCUUGGGGUAUCUUUUCUGAAACAGAGUUCUUUUAAGUGUACAAUUUUAAGCAUAUAAAGACAAAAAUAUUUCGCAUUUUCUGUACCAACAGGAAAAAAUAUAUAUUAAGAAACA